rnacentral:rRNA from 1 species
GCGUAACGCGUGGGAAUCUGCCCUUGGGUCCBGGAUAACAGUUAGAAAUGACUGCUAAUACCGGAUAAUGACGUAAGUCCAAAGAUUUAUCGCCUAGGGAUGAGCCCGCGUAGGAUUAGCUUGUUGGUGAGGUAAAAGCUCACCAAGGCGACGAUCCUUAGCUGGUCUGAGAGGAUGAUCAGCCACACUGGGACUGAGACACGGCCCAGACUCCUACGGGAGGCAGCAGUGGGGAAUAUUGGACAAUGGGCGAAAGCCUGAUCCAGCAAUGCCGCGUGAGUGAUGAAGGCCUUAGGGUUGUAAC